rnacentral:rRNA from 1 species
GGUUAAGCGACUAAGCGUACACGGUGGAUGCCCUGGCAGUCAGAGGCGAUGAAGGACGUGCUAAUCUGCGAAAAGCGUCGGUAAGGUGAUAUGAACCGUUACAGCCGGCGAUGUCCGAAUGGGGAAACCCAGUGCAAUUCGUUGCACUAUCGUUUGAUGAAUACAUAGUCAAACGAGGCGAACCGGGGGAACUGAAACAUCUAAGUACCCCGAGGAAAAGAAAUCAACCGAGAUUCCCCCAGUAGCGGCGAGCGAACGGGGAGCAGCCCGGAGUCUGAAUCAGCUUGUGUGUUAGUGGAAGCGUCUGGAAAGUCGCAGGGUACAGGGUGAUACUCCCGUACACUAAAACAUACAGGUUGUGAACUCGAAGAGUAGGGCGGGACACGUGGUAUCCUGUCUGAAUAUGGGGGGACCAUCCUCCAAGGCUAAAUACUCCUGACUGACCGAUAGUGAACCAGUACCGUGAGGGAAAGGCGAAAAGAACCCCGGCGAGGGGAGUGAAAAAGAACCUGAAACCGUGUACGUACAAGCAGUAGGAGCCCACUUGUUGGGUGACUGCGUACCUUUUGUAUAAUGGGUCAGCGACUUAUAUUCUGUAGCAAGGUUAACCGUAUAGGGGAGCCGCAGGGAAACCGAGUCUUAACUGGGCGUUAAGUUGCAGGGUAUAGACCCGAAACCCGGUGAUCUAGCCAUGGGCAGGUUGAAGGUUGGGUAACACUAACUGGAGGACCGAACCGACUAAUGUUGAAAAAUUAGCGGAUGACUUGUGGCUGGGGGUGAAAGGCCAAUCAAACCGGGAGAUAGCUGGUUCUCCCCGAAAGCUAUUUAGGUAGCGCCUCGUGAAUUCAUCUUCGGGGGUAGAGCACUGUUUCGGCUAGGGGGUCAUCCCGACUUACCAACCCGAUGCAAACUACGAAUACCGAAGAAUGUUAUCACGGGAGACACACGGCGGGUGCUAACGUCCGUCGUGAAGAGGGAAACAACCCAGACCGCCAGCUAAGGUCCCAAAGUCAUGGUUAAGUGGGAAACGAUGUGGGAAGGCCCAGACAGCCAGGAUGUUGGCUUAGAAGCAGCCAUCAUUUAAAGAAAGCGUAAUAGCUCACUGGUCGAGUCGGCCUGCGCGGAAGAUGUAACGGGGCUAAACCAUGCACCGAAGCUGCGGCAGCGACACUAUGUGUUGUUGGGUAGGGGAGCGUUCUGUAAGCCGUUGAAGGUGGCCUGUGAGGGUUGCUGGAGGUAUCAGAAGUGCGAAUGCUGACAUAAGUAACGAUAAUGCGGGUGAAAAACCCGCACGCCGGAAGACCAAGGGUUCCUGUCCAACGUUAAUCGGGGCAGGGUGAGUCGACCCCUAAGGCGAGGCCGAAAGGCGUAGUCGAUGGGAAACAGGUUAAUAUUCCUGUACUUGGUGUUACUGCGAAGGGGGGACGGAGAAGGCUAUGUUGGCCGGGCGACGGUUGUCCCGGUUUAAGCAUGUAGGCGGAUGUUCCAGGUAAAUCCGGAACGUUAUUAACGCUGAGGUGUGAUGACGAGGCACUACGGUGCUGAAGUGACAAAUGCCCUGCUUCCAGGAAAAGCCUCUAAGCAUCAGGUAACAUCAAAUCGUACCCCAAACCGACACAGGUGGUCAGGUAGAGAAUACCAAGGCGCUUGAGAGAACUCGGGUGAAGGAACUAGGCAAAAUGGUGCCGUAACUUCGGGAGAAGGCACGCUGAUACGUAGGUGAAGUGAUUUACUCAUGGAGCUGAAAUCAGUCGAAGAUACCAGCUGGCUGCAACUGUUUAUUAAAAACACAGCACUGUGCAAACACGAAAGUGGACGUAUACGGUGUGACGCCUGCCCGGUGCCGGAAGGUUAAUUGAUGGGGUUAUCCGUAAGGAGAAGCUCUUGAUCGAAGCCCCGGUAAACGGCGGCCGUAACUAUAACGGUCCUAAGGUAGCGAAAUUCCUUGUCGGGUAAGUUCCGACCUGCACGAAUGGCGUAAUGAUGGCCAGGCUGUCUCCACCCGAGACUCAGUGAAAUUGAACUCGCUGUGAAGAUGCAGUGUACCCGCGGCAAGACGGAAAGACCCCGUGAACCUUUACUAUAGCUUGACACUGAACACUGGUCCUUGAUGUGUAGGAUAGGUGGGAGGCUUUGAAGCGUGGACGCCAGUCUGCGUGGAGCCAUCCUUGAAAUACCACCCUUUAAUGGCUGGUGUUCUAACGUGGGCCCCUAAUCGGGGUUGCGGACAGUGUCUGGUGGGUAGUUUGACUGGGGCGGUCUCCUCCUAAAGAGUAACGGAGGAGCACGAAGGUCAGCUAAUCCUGGUCGGACAUCAGGAGGUUAGUGCAAUGGCAUAAGCUGGCUUGACUGCGAGCGUGACGGCGCGAGCAGGUGCGAAAGCAGGUCAUAGUGAUCCGGUGGUUCUGAAUGGAAGGGCCAUCGCUCAACGGAUAAAAGGUACUCCGGGGAUAACAGGCUGAUACCGCCCAAGAGUUCAUAUCGACGGCGGUGUUUGGCACCUCGAUGUCGGCUCAUCACAUCCUGGGGCUGAAGUAGGUCCCAAGGGUAUGGCUGUUCGCCAUUUAAAGUGGUACGCGAGCUGGGUUUAGAACGUCGUGAGACAGUUCGGUCCCUAUCUGCCGUGGGCGCUGGAGAAUUGAGGGGGGCUGCUCCUAGUACGAGAGGACCGGAGUGGACGCAUCACUGGUGUUCGGGUUGUCAUGCCAAUGGCAUUGCCCGGUAGCUAAAUGCGGAAGAGAUAAGUGCUGAAAGCAUCUAAGUACGAAACUUGCCCCGAGAUGAGUUCUCCCUGACUCCUUGAGAGUCCUGAAGGAACGUUGAAGACGACGACGUUGAUAGGCCGGGUGUGUAAGCGCAGCGAUGCGUUGAGCUAACCGGUACUAAUGAACCGUGAGGCUUAACCUU